UGGGGAAUUUUGGACAAUGGGCGAAAGCCUGAUCCAGCAAUGCCGCGUGUGUGAAGAAGGCCUUCGGGUUGUAAAGCACUUUUGUCCGGAAAGAAAUCCUUGGCUCUAAUACAGUCGGGGGAUGACGGUACCGGAAGAAUAAGCACCGGCUAACUACGUGCCAGCAGCCGCGGUAAUACGUAGGGUGCAAGCGUUAAUCGGAAUUACUGGGCGUAAAGCGUGCGCAGGCGGCUUGCUAAGACCGAUGUGAAAUCCCCGGGCUCAACCUGGGAACUGCAUUGGUGACUGGCAGGCUAGAGUAUGGCAGAGGGGGGUAGAAUUCCACGUGUAGCAGUGAAAUGCGUAGAGAUGUGGAGGAAUACCGAUGGCGAAGGCAGCCCCCUGGGCCAAUACUGACGCUCAUGCACGAAAGCGUGGGGGAGCAAACAGGAUUAGAUACCCUGGUAGUCCACGCCCUAAACGAUGUCAACUAGUUGUUGGGGAUUCAUUUCCUUAGUAACGUAGCUAACGCGUGAAGUUGACCGCCUGGGGAGUACGGUCGCAAGAUUAAAACUCAAAGGAAUUGACGGGGUCAUA
rnacentral:rRNA from 1 species